GACGAACGCUGGCGGCGUGCCUAAUACAUGCAAGUUGAGCGCUGAAGGUUGGUACUUGUACCGACUGGAUGAGCAGCGAACGGGUGAGUAACGCGUGGGGAAUCUGCCUUUGAGCGGGGGACAACAUUUGGAAACGAAUGCUAAUACCGCAUAAAAACUUUAAACACAAGUUUUAAGUUUGAAAGAUGCAAUUGCAUCACUCAAAGAUGAUCCCGCGUUGUAUUAGCUAGUUGGUGAGGUAAAGGCCCACCAAGGCGAUGAUACAUAGCCGACCUGAGAGGGUGUUCGGCCACAUUGGGACUGAGACACGGCCCAAACUCCUACGGGAGGCAGCAGUAGGGAAUCUUCGGCAAUGGACGAAAGUCUGACCGAGCAACGCCGCGUGAGGGAAGAAGGUUUUCGGAUCGUAAAACUCUGUUGGUAGAGAAGAACGUUGGUGAGAGUGGAAAGCUCAUCAAGUGACGGUAACUACCCAGAAAGGGACGGCUAACUACGUG
rnacentral:rRNA from 1 species